AUUGAACGCUAGCGGGAUGCUUUACACAUGCAAGUCGAACGGCGGCGCGGACUUCGGUCUGGCGGCGCGUGGCGCACGGGUGUGUAAUGUAUCGGAACGUCCCCAGUAGCGGGGGAUAACUACGCGAAAGCGUAGCUAAUACCGCAUACGCCCUACGGGGGAAAGCAGGGGAUCGUAAGACCUUGUACUAUUGGAGCGACCGAUAUCGGAUUUGCUAGCUGGUGGGGUAAGGGCUCACUAAGCAGACGAUCGGUAGCUGGCUUGAGAGGACGGCUAGCCACACUGGAACGGAGACACGGCCCAGACGCCUACGGGAGGCAGCAGAGGGGAAUGUGGGACAAUGGGGGCAACCCUGAUCCAGCCAGCCCACGUGUGAGAUGAAGGCCUUGGGGUUGUAAAGCACUUUUGGCAGGAGAGAAACGUCGCGGGCUAAUACCCCGUGGAACUGACGGUACCUGCAGAAUAAGCACCGGCUAACUACGUG
rnacentral:rRNA from 1 species